CUGCUCCCCACCCUCGACAAGGACCUUCUUGUUGGCCUCAGCCAGGCUGCACUGUCCCGUGCCAGGGCCUCAUGGGGGGGUGGGGCGUGGCUGGGUGCGUGGGAGGGCCCUCAG